AGCUGGGCUUCUUUUAUUCAGCUGCAGAGAGAUGAAUGCAGAAGUACCUCAGGGCUGUUAUACAAUACUGCAGGAUGUUCCGAAAAAUCCUCAUUGCUUUUCUUUUAGGGAGGACUGAUGUAUCUUUUGGAAAACUGAAAUGUCUAACUUAAAUACAUUUACACUGUCUUUUUAUUUGUCGGAGGGAUAGAAAUGAAAGGAUUUUCUUAUGUACAUCUGGAAUUGCCUCUUAGCUAGAAAUACUUCCAAACACCCACUGGAAAAAUUAUUUUACUGUGUUGCUAUUCCUAGUGGACAUUUCUAUUGUUUUUAUUUGUUGAAGUUCUCGUCACUUCACUUGCAUGGAUGAGAUUUCAUAAUUGUUAUUGAUUUCUAUAAAGAUUUUUUUUGAUAUAAACCAGUGUGAUGUAACCCUUUGAACACCAGCAUUUGCAAGCACAUGCAAGUACAAUGUGUGUAUCUGAACUUCAAGAUGGACAAAGAAGUCAAGCACACACACUGCUUUCUUAAAGGACAGAGCAGCGAAGUGCGUGAUGGAAGCUGUGUUUCUGUAUAUGGGAGCAGAAUAUAUCUAUUGAUCUAAACCACUUAAGAUCAGAUCAAAUUCCACUGACUCAACAGGAACUGGAAGGUAUAAUCCCAGUGUGGUAAGUGUGACUUUGAAGUGUUGGACUGGAAAAUGGGAAGAUACUGGUUACCAUCUAGAAGUAACUUGUUUGGAAACACCUUGGUCCCUUGGAAGAGUAACUAUGGAUUAACACUGAUUUUGUGAAGUUUUCAUUGCUUUCUGGAUAACGAAAGGUCAAAGUAUACCGGCAACGGGACUGAACUUCUUUGUCUCAACUGAUGAUGGACUUGGUGAGAGAAGAAACAUUUUCUUUAUAGAAAAGCACAGUCUUUUAUUUCUAAGAGUAACAUUUGGGUUCUCUGAUGGUUCAAAAAAACUCAAGUGAGAAUCUGGGACUUUGAUUGCUUUGGUGAAUGAAGGCUGCCUAAUUACAGCUAAUUAAGCUAAACAGUUCCACUUGGUGGGAGUUAAAAGUUUAUGUAACUGACAACUCCACUUUUUCUUCUAUUUUUUAAGUGAGGAGGCAUUCUAAAUACCUUCAGACAUACCCACUGUAUUAAUGUCAGGGCAGAUGAAUUAUUUGGGAGAAAGAAUUAAACACAGACAGCUCAAACA